AUUCAACUGAUGAGUCCCAAAUAGUACGGGACACGCGUCCUGGAU
rnacentral:hammerhead_ribozyme from 1 species